UCUGCUGCCAGCUGAUCGUGUUGAUGUUUUUCUAUUCUGAAUAAUUCUGACUUAAGCGGCUGUCCAGUCAGGAGACUCAGGUGCUCUGCCAGUCUGCUUUGUUCAUGAGGUCGCACUUUGCAGACAGCAAGAUAAGCCUGUUAAUUCGCGGCCAACACUUUUGUGGGACUUGUCGAUUUUUGAUGCUUAGUUUUGCUUGUCGAAGCUUGGCUGACUUUUGGUUUUCUUCUGGCUACUGAGUUCAAAGUUUUUGUUGCAGACCCAGCAUAAUUUUUAGGUCAAGCAGUUCCACUACAGUAAAGAUCAAGUUCCCUCUGCCCAAGAGAGUUGAACAGAAGACCACCUCUUGACUUUAUAGAGCAGAUUAACCCCGAGAGGUCUCUGACCAAGAACGUUGAUUCGAUUCUCUCUUCAGAGGCAACAUAAUACUUAUAAAGAGUAAACUUGAGCAUGUCCAGCACUACCGUAAUUUUAGUGUCCAUCACCAUAUUUGACCUCACAGCAUUCAGCGAAUUCAGCGCAACUUGCUUCCGGCCUCGCUGAGGGAACUAGCAAAGCUGGACGCCGAGUCCCCAAUGCCGGCCUGGAUGGCCUCCCGGAAGAGCUCAGGAUGGACCAUCUCUAACCCAGACCAGACCAUGUUUUUCGGCAUUUGCCCUGCGUGACCUUCGAAAAAGACCAGGGCGUCUCGAUCUCUUCAGGGUGUCGCUGCCAAAUUCAUCAGCCAAAUGCAACCUCGUGGCCACACUUUCAGCGUCCAGGGUUCCAGCAGGGACUUGUUGCACUGGUUAGUCAACCCUGGCAACUUUAACUUGUAGGCGGCCCCACAGUAGAGAGCCUGAAGGAUAUUCAACUACUUCAAACUGUGCAGAUUUUGCGCACUCAUUACCAGCACCACAUAGACUUCUCACGCGUACUCAAGGAUGAUGGACCUUAAGAGAAGAAAACUCUGUUUACGAGCAUUCUGAAGAUCUUGAAGGCUUUCUCUUUGACGGCUUGAUCCUCUUCUCUGUCCUCUGCCAGGAGGUACUCUGCCAAGGCUUACCAGAUGCGAAGCGCUUAACAAUGUCGGAACUGAAAUUAUCAUUACCAUCACCCUGGGACCAGCAUGUGUAAAAGAAUUGAGGUGACUAAGAGUACAUCCAGUUCUUCAAUGUCCUCUGCAGCUUGUCGGCAGGAACUUCUUUAAUCUUAUGCCAAGGUUACUGUGGGUAACCACCGCAUGAACCCCCAGACUGAACACACUCACAAGGUUAUGAGGACAUGACUUAAUAAUUGAAACCUGGAGAGAGAGUGGAGACUGGCAGAAAGCCUUCCGCGACAGCGCCCUUGGUUUGUUUGUCUUGACAGACCACAAAAACAAAAUGCACAAAGUUCAAUGACGUCGAUUUUAAUGUGUCCCCCAGAUGCAAAUUCUCUCUUAGAGACCAAGUCAUGGUUUCAUGUGCAAAAACUAUUGGGUUUGGCGCUACAAAAUCAAUAUCAAGAUGUUUGACCAGCCUUCUGAUCAUUGAGUCUGAGCGAGUCCAACGCCAAGGAACCUUUUGUGAUGUGCAUGGUCACCACGUGAGAUGCAGGUCCCAAAACUUAAAUUCAAUGGAUCAUUUUUUUGCUCAUGCUACACAACAUCUUCUCUUAAAUCUAACAGUUUUGCAGUGAAAUCAGCGCGAGUUGCUUCCGGCCUCACUGAGGGAACUGGCAAAGCUGGACGCCGAGUCCCCAAUGCCAGCCUCAAUGGCCUCCUGGAAGAGCUCAGGACGGACCAUCUCCAUCACAGACCAGGCCAUGUUUUUUGGCAUCCGCCCUGCGUGACCUUCUACAAAGGCCAGGGCGCCUCUCUUCAAGGCGUCGCAGCCAAAUUCAUCAGCCAGAAGCAACCUAGCGGCUACACUUUCGGCGUCCAAAGUUUCCAGCAGGGACCUCUCGCACAGGGUGGUCAACCCUGGCAACUCGUAUUUGUAGGCGGCCCCCAGAAGAGAGGCGGCCACCGAGUCCAGGUUCUCCACUCGGCCGGUGUAGAUGUACCUGAGGAUCUCCUGCAGGUUUUCGGCGGUCAGGUCGCUCAACUCGAGAGUAGGGGUGGUUUCUAAUUUUUCAUCAAUGUCUGAAAUCAUUCCAGCAAGGCGGGGCGAACGCGCGCCAAGGAUGCAGCAGUGCGCUGGGAAAAGGGCGCCGCCGGCAGCGCGCAGUUUGACGUCACCUUUGGCCCACGGCAGUUCUGAGGGGGCCAGGUCGUCGUCUGAGCUGCACAACAAGGAACCCAUGUCUUGGGAGAGGCUGUGCUGCUCGUCAUCACUGCCCGUUGGGACAACCUGGAAAUUGAAGAGACAAAUUUAGAGUUUUUAUUGGAAUUUUAAAUGGUUUAUAUAUGUAUUUUUUUUUAAUUUUUAUAAACAUAAUAUAAUAGACAAAAAAAGAGCAAAAUUUUAAUUUCUGAUUAGAGACAAUUAGAUACAUCAAUGUAAAAACUAACUGCUUAUGACAAAAAUUAUCUUUAUUUUAUUAAAAAAAGCUGAAAUCACAGGUUAAAAUGUUCCAGGUAAAGUAAAUGUGAUUCCAAAGAGUCUCAAUCGGCUAUUUUUCAUUUUUUGGCUAGUCCUUUGUUUCAAAAUCGUGUAAAUUGAAAUAAGUUUCAAUUAAUUUUUUGUUAAUUAAUGACGGCACAGAAUUUUAAAAUGACAAGGAACUUAUUUAAAUAUAUAAAAAAAAAACAAUUUAUUUGCUUGAAGUUUCUACAAAGUAAUGUGUACUGUACUAUUGUCAAAAAAAAAUUAAAAUUCUUGAAAAAAAUAUUUCAAAAUGGAUCAAAAUCUCAAUAUAUAGUUUAAAAAAAUUCCAGACAUUAUUUGUA